rnacentral:rRNA from 1 species
GAUGAACGCUAGCUACAGGCUUAACACAUGCAAGUCGAGGGGUAACGAGAGGAAAGCUUGCCUUCCUUGUCGACGACCGGCGCACGGGUGAGUAACGCGUAUCCAACCUGCCCCCAACUAGGGAAUAACCUUGCGAAAGUAAGACUAAUACCCUAUAAUUUCCUCAGAUGACAUCUGACGAGGAAGAAAGAUUUAUCGGUUGUGGAUGGGGAUGCGUCUGAUUAGCUUGUUGGCGGGGUAACGGCCCACCAAGGCAACGCUCAGUAGGGGUUCUGAGAGGAAGGUCCCCCACAUUGGAACUGAGACACGGUCCAAACUCCUACGGGAGGCAGCAGUGAGGAAUAUUGGUCAAUGGGCGGAAGCCUGAACCAGCCAAGUAGCGUGCAGGAUGACGGCCCUAUGGGUUGUAAACUGCUUUUAUACAGGAAUAAAGUUAGCCACGUGUGGUUAUUUGUAGGUACUGUAUGAAUAAGGACCGGCUAAUUCCGUGCCAGCAGCCGCCGUAA